GGCUAGAUGGCCGAGUGGUCUAAGGCGUUGGACUUAAGUUCCAAUUCGUGAAAGCGAGCGUGGGUUCGAAACCCACUCUAGCCA